rnacentral:rRNA from 1 species
UGUAUAGCAAUAGCUAAUUGCACUAGGUAUUUCUAGUGUAGAAUCGACUAUGUUGAAUAAAAUUCUGGGUAGGCUUUUGAUAAUGACAUUAUCUGCCCAUAAGUCUUGACCAAAUUACGUGCCAGCAGUCGCGGUAAUACGUAGAAGACAAGUGUUAUUCAUCCUUAAUAGGUUUAAAGGGUACCUAGACGGGAAAUAAAGCCUCAAAAAGGGACUAAUUUUCUAGAGUUUUAUGUGAAGAAGUAUUGAAGUACUAGAGGUGCAGAGAUGAAAUUCAGUCAUACUUGAUGGCACAGGUUAAGGCGAAGGCAUCUUCUUAUGUAAAAACUGACGUUGAGGGACGAAGGCUUUGUGUCUCGAACAGGAUUAGAUACCCUAGUAGUCUAAGCAGAAAAUGAUGAAUGUCAUAGAUUAGAUGUAAUUUGAUCUAUAAAUGAAAGUGUAAGCAUUCCACCUCAAGAGUAAUUUGGCAACAUUGGAACUGAAAUCAUUAGACCGUUUCUGAAACCAGUAGUGAAGUAUGUUGUUUAAUUUGAUAAUCCGCAAAAAACCUUACCACAAUUUGAAUAGAUAUAUAUAUCAUACAAGCGUUGCACGGCUGUCUUCAGUUAAUGUCGUGAGACUAUGGUUAGUUCCAUUAAUUAACGUAAACCCUUAUUUUAUUUUAAGAUAAAGUAGUUCACCGCUAGAUU